GACGAACGCUGGCGGCGUGCCUAAUACAUGCAAGUAGAACGCUGAAGGAGGAGCUUGCUUCUCUGGAUGAGUUGCGAACGGGUGAGUAACGCGUAGGUAACCUGCCUGGUAGCGGGGGAUAACUAUUGGAAACGAUAGCUAAUACCGCAUAAGAGUAGAUGUUGCAUGACAUUUGCUUCAAAGUUGCAAUUGCAUCACUACCAGAUGGCCCUGCUUUGUAUUAGCUAGUUGGUGGGGUAACGGCUCACCAAGGCGACGAUACAUAGCCGACCUGAGAGGGGGAUCGGCCACACUGGGACUGAGACACGGCCCAGACUCCUACGGGAGGCAGCAGUAGGGAAUCUUCGGCAAUGGACGGAAGUCUGACCGAGCAACGCCGCGUGAGUGAAGAAGGGUUUCGGAUCGUAAAGCUCUGUUGUAAGAGAAGAACGAGUGUGAGAGUGGAAAGUUCACACUGUGACGGUAUCUUACCAGAAAGGGACGGCUAACUACGUG
rnacentral:rRNA from 1 species